rnacentral:lncRNA from 1 species
UCCAAAGCUGUUUCCUAAGUGAAGCUAUGUUAUGACCAUAUACCACACUUAAGUGAAUACUGAUCUGACUUGACAAUGAAUAACCUGAGCAGUUAUAGCUAAUAUAUGCAUUUGAAUAUGAGACUUCCAAAUCAGCCAGAUUCUCCCAUUAGUUGCAUUUGAAUAAUUGCACUGCACCAUCCAGUUCCUUGCAAUCUUCCCUAAUAUCUUCUUUGAUUUAGACUCCUUUGCCCUGGUUUCAAGAAUUCCCAUGACAUCUACUUUAUUUUUAGCUAAGAAGUUUUUCAACUCCCUUUGCUUAUGAGGCUGAUUAAGCCCCCUUAUGUUCCAAGUUACAACAAUCAUUGGGAAUAAGGUUCUACCCUGUAAGAUGGACCAGGGUCUACAUUAUAGCUACUGCUUCCAUUCUCAUUCAUGACAGCCUUACCAUUAUUGGCAAGAUCUGUCUGAUGUUCUCCUUUCUCAAAUUCAGCAAAAGUGAGUGCAGUUUCUGAACUGACUAAAG